rnacentral:rRNA from 1 species
UAUUAAUGGCCGCAGUAUAAUGACUGUGCUAAGGUAGCAUAAUAAUUUGCCUCUUAAUUGGAGGCUGGAAUGAAAGGUUUUAUGGAAAAUAGCUAUUUUAAUAAAAUAAAUUGAAUUUAAGUUUUGUAUAAAAACUUAUAAAAGAUCUCAAGGGACGAGAAGACCCUGUGGAUUUUUAUUUCCGAGAAAGUAAAUUUAAUAAUCUUUUAUUUUUUAAAGGAAUUUAGUUGGGAUGACGGUAAUUUAACUUUAUUUAUAAAAUAUAAGAUCCUAUUUAAGGAAAAAAGAACAAAUUACCCCAGGGAUAACAGCGUAAUGCUUUUGGACAGGACAUAUGGAUAAAAGUGUUUGCGACCUCGAUGUUGAAUUAAAAUUUCUUUGUUAAGCAUAAAUAACGAAAGUAAGUCUGUUCGACUUUUAAUAUUUUACGUGAUCUGAGUUCAGACCGG